rnacentral:lncRNA from 1 species
AAAUGCGAAACGUUUGCUCCUUGCUCCUCUUUGGUUCAGCAUCUGGAAUAAGAACUACAGAGUCAGCCAGAGCUGCCCGGAAGGAGGAGGUCCUUCCUGGAGCCCCGACUCGGAGAUGAACCUGGUCCUCUGACUGGGGAGAGCCCUGGAGAAGUUGCCGCCUUCUCUGCUGUUAUCAAGAGUUGGAGGAGCCAUGUGAUAUCCUGCGCAAGGACUGCAGACAACCGUGACUCAAUGUUUCUUGCAGUCAAGCUUUACAAGUUCUCUGCCCAGAAUGACCUCCCAACCCUCACCUCUCCAAGUCAUCUGUUCAGCCAUUAACUCUUUCAUGCUUGCAGACAUAGAUGCAUGCACUUUAAGAAGACCAUUUGCUGAGCACUGGAUCAGGCACUGUUCAAGGCAUCGGGCCACAAAGGCAUGUUCAUUAGUCUCAA